GUCGAACGAUGAAGCCCAGCUUGCUGGGUGGAUUAGUGGCGAACGGGUGAGUAACACGUGAGUAACCUGCCCUUGACUCUGGGAUAAGCGUUGGAAACGACGUCUAAUACCGGAUACGAGCUUCCACCGCAUGGUGAGUUGCUGGAAAGAAUUUUGGUCAAGGAUGGACUCGCGGCCUAUCAGCUUGUUGGUGAGGUAAYGGCUCACCAAGGCGACGACGGGUAGCCGGCCUGAGAGGGUGACCGGCCACACUGGGACUGAGACACGGCCCAGACUCCUACGGGAGGCAGCAGUGGGGAAUAUUGCACAAUGGGCGAAAGCCUGAUGCAGCAACGCCGCGUGAGGGACGACGGCCUUCGGGUUGUAAACCUCUUUUAGCAGGGAAGAAGCGAAAGUGACGGUACCUGCAGAAAAAGCACCGGCUAACUACGUGCCAGCAGCCGCGGUAAUACGUAGGGUGCAAGCGUUGUCCGGAAUUAUUGGGCGUAAAGAGCUCGUAGGCGGUUUGUCGCGUCUGCUGUGAAAUCCCGAGGCUCAACCUCGGGUCUGCAGUGGGUACG
rnacentral:rRNA from 1 species